rnacentral:lncRNA from 1 species
AGGAUAGGCUAGGAGAUGGUGGCCCUUUACUGAGAGUUGGUUUCUGAUCUCCUCAAGUUGGUUGUUUCUGGGGUCAAAAUGGGUCCUCAGGAUGGUGGCUUCUCCUGUGUUAGUUACAGUCAUGAAGAAUAUGUGCGGAUUCAUAUGACUCUGCAUGUUCUUGGGUCCCACUAGUUAGACCUAGAAUAUUGUUAUAUUUUCACUAGAGAACUAUUUUUUUUUCCCUCCAACACAUCCUUCACCCUUGUAUGAACUUCUUGAUGAAUGAAUCCGUUCACUUAUCUUUAGUAGGCAUUCAUUGGCAUUGAUGUUUUUAAGAAUUUUUUUUCCCCUAGGAUAGUGAAAUACUUCUGGAAGGAAUUAAACAUAUGAUCAUUCACUUCUCAAAGAAGGGACUUUAUUAAGUUGUUCAGUUGAUUCCAUCCCUAUCAAUCGUGGUCAGGCUUGGGAAAAGAGCUUGAAGUGAUUUUUAAUGAAGAAGUUCCUUAUACCUAGAGCUUCUGGAGAGAUUAAUGAGUUGACAGGGGGUCACAUGGAAAUUGGGACUAAGGAAUAGACAAAAGACAGUGCCCUAGAUCCUUCUGUGAAUGUGUAAAAUAAGAUUAGAACCUUUGCACCCAAGCCCCGCUCUGGUCAGAUAGCUGUAAUUUUUAUAACUCUAUUAUCAAAUUCCAUCACCUCUCAGCAUCGAAGGAAAAAAAAAUUUGAGUCUAAACAAUAUCGUGGUGUUAGAGAUACUCUCAGCACCAACCAAGAGGAAGCAGAUAACAGAUCUAGUAAACUUAAUGCUAAAUCCAAGUGUGGUGUUAUUCUAUUAGAAAGUCAACUGCCUCUUUAUUGCUCAAAAGUAAUCAUGUUGGGCUGGAGUGUAGCUUAGUGGGAGGGCCUGGUUCCAUCU